AUAGCUUUUGUCAAUGGAUUUGAGAUGCAUGCUUGAAAUUGUCAUUGGAACCAGUUUGCUUGCUCGGCUCUGGUGGUGGGCGGGUCUCCGGCGGUGACCGAUCCCUAACCGACUUCAUGGCUGGCUUCCGCUUCUUUUGGCAGGGCCUCCCUCAGGCUAGGCGGCAGCAGCGGGGCAGUUGCUGUUUUCUUGCGUAUCGAAUGUUCCCUAAGCGGCAGGAGAAGGCAUCGUAAGGCGGCCGCUCACGGGGAGGGCAGGCCACGGUGUCUGCUGAUCACCGCCAUGACAGUCUGCAAAACCGUGGCCAACAGGGUUAAUGGGCCGCCAUUGAACCCGCCCAGCCCCAGCUUCUUCAGGAACGGCUGAGUUUUCUCGCUCCCACCGAAGCCUGAGAAGGCAAAGAGCUGCGGAUGCCCCUCCAACCUACGCAGUGGGGGAGUUCGAGCGGCGGCUGGGGGGAUUAGCGCCGGCAUGGCAAGCGGCUGCCGUUGCCCCUCGAUCCGGGCUCGAUGCCUUUCUCAGGUCCAUCCGAUACCGUGAAAGCGUCUGUUGGGCAUCAAAAAAUUAUAGAACACGUUGAAAUGAUUUUAGUGACUCUGUUCAUUGUUAUGCAUUCCAUUACACAUUGCCCAUUCACUAUGGAACUAUAAGUCUUUAGGAAGAGGCGGUUGAUUGCUAGAAAUAUUAAGAUCUUAUAUCAAAUACAUAUUGAAGAAACGGCACAGUGUAUUUAAGUGCGUGUCUGUCUCUCGAAUUGCUUGGUCGGCUUGCAGGAAGAAUUUUUUUGUUUAUAUUGUUUCGCUUUUGAGGAUUCAUGCCUUUGAAAUUGUCAUAUCUGCAUAUUGGCAUACAUUGAAGAACUUUUAUGUGAUCCAAUUAGUUGACAGAUGAAGGUAAACUGCCAUGUAUCGAUAAUCACCGACCGUAUAUUUAUUAUUCAUGCAUUGCUAGAGACGCUAACAAGCUCAUGAUCAAGGCAAUAUUUUCUUUGAUUACAUUUUAAUGGUCACAUAAAUUGAUGCCAGCCAACGUAGUCAUCCACUAGGUUACAAUUGCGUGUCUUAAGAGUAAAUGACAAAGAUGUAGCAUAAUAUUAACUGUAUAAGAAGAUGCUCAAGGUUCUGUAUUCCCGAUGCUAAUGUUGUGCUUUCCGGAACAUAAUUUGCCUGUAGGCUUCUCUUUGAGAGAUUGAUUCCCAUAUAUCGUUUUCGUUUAGUGGUAACUAUGGGGAGAUCCUAUUUGAUCAUAUCAAGCGGCGCGUCUGUUUGCAAGCACAUCAAUUAUUUCUUUUCAUUUUUUUUUUCUGAAGUUUUGGUUGCACAUGGAAACUGGGAGUUGGGAGCUUAAAGCUUCAAGAAAGGAAUUGGAGCGUAAAUUAUUAUUCAUAUGCUAAUUUUAUCACACUAGAUAUAGUGACAUACGCCACUUCACCAACAUUCACAAAUCAAAAAGAAUAUUACAAACUCAUGGAUCGUUAGCAUUAAAGAUGUUUUUUUUUUUUUUAAACAAGGGAAACAAAUAAUUAAAUACCUAAGUGUUAAAAUGUGUGUGUUGUUUUUGUAAAUGUUAAUAUGCAUAUCUUGUUUGAACAAAAAUGUAAAACAAUCACAUGCCACCAUUAGAAGCACACUUACAUUGUAAUGGUACCAAAUAAAGAUACUAAGCACAUCCUUUGAGCUGUCAGUUGAUGCUUAAGAUUAGAGUAUAGCAUAAGUUUUACAAGGUCUUUUGCAUUGUCUGAAACUUUGGGUCAUGGGUUCUUUUUAAAAUUUAUAAUAGAGCAAAUAUUUUGUCUGCACAACACCUUUAUAAUGUAUAUAUAGUGUCAUGAUGUUGUCAUCUCUUUAAAAACUUUGUGUACUUGUCUCUUUAUAUAUUUGCAAGAAAGAUGCUAUUAUUCUUAAUACUUUUCAAGAAGAACAAAAUCGUAGAAACAUUCUUAAGAGAAGCCUUUAUGAGAAAUGCCAAGAAGAAUAUUGACAACUAUGAUUGUUCACACAUUGUACAAGAUGUAAAAUAUUCUCAUAUUAUUGAUUUUACUUGAGAAGUAUAGAUCUUUUAUGUUGCAGAAACUAAACAAGGUAUUGGACAAGCAACUAUUUGUUCUAUUAUAGAUUUUAAAAGGAACUCAUGACCCAAGGUUUUAGACAAUGCAAAAGUCCUUGUAAGGCAUAUAUCGAACCCUGAUCCCAAGCAUUAAUUGACGGUUGAUGAGGUGCUUAGUAUGGUUUUCUAUUUGUUGUGCCAUUACAAUGUAACUGCCCUUUGAACUGUGACAUAUCCAUGAAAAUUUUGUAUUUUUCAGGAAGAAUCACUUCUUAGAAAAAUUCUUAAGAGAAGCCUUUAUGAGAAAUGCCAAGAACGAUAUUUGUGACUAUCAUUGUUCACACAUUUGUUUAAUAAAUUUGUAUGUUUGUGCAAGAAGUAAAAUAUUUUCAUAUGAGUGAUUUUACUUGAGAAGUAUACAUCUCUUAUGUUGUAUAAACUAAACAAGGUGUUACGUAGAAAAUUAUUUUUUUAAUUAUAGAUUUUAAAGGAAACCCAUAACUCAAGAUUUUAGGCAAUGCCAAAGUUCUUGUAAGGUAUUUGCUGGGCCUGAUCCCAAUCAUUAAUUGAUGACUCAUGAGGUGCUUAGUGUGUUUUUCUAUUUGUUGUGCGAUUAUGAUGUAACUGCCAUUCGAACUGUGACAUGCGAUUGCUUUAUCUUUCCAUGAUUCUAUUAAACAAGAUAUGCUCUAUGAUUCUAUUAAACAAGAUAUGCUCUAUGAUUCUAUUAAACAAGAUAUGCCCUUUAACAUUAUUAGACACAUAUCUUUUAGUUUCUAUUGUUGAACUAAUUCUAGUGUCAGUGAUAUAUAAAUUUCAUAGUUUUUACUGAUUUGUUAAGGUUAGUGAAAUGACAUUCUGUGAUAAGAUUAGUAUAGGAGUAAUUUACACUCAACUCUCUUACCUUCAUUUUAAGGGAUGAAACUUGUCAAAAUGCUCCUUCCAUCGAGUUUAUGAAAUAAAUAGAAAGUUUCAGUUUUCACCACCGCUUUUCUUUAGCUUGAACGAGAACAAUAUGCUAGCUCGAUAAAUGCACCAAUAAUUAUUGUUACCCAAUGUCGACAUAUGUAAUGCCAAAGAUUGGUCAGAUCAUUGGUGGACCAAAAUUCUGCUUGUGAAGCAAUCUGCAGAAGCAAUAAACCGUUGUUUGUGAAGAUGUCCGCUGGCGCUAUUUCCAGGCCACAGUGCUGUUGCGUUCUCUCAUUGUGCUAUAUCCACGAAAGUUUCGCUACAAUUUCAAGUUUUACAUUAAUCAAAUACAGAAUUUUUGUUUUACCAUCAUAUUUUUCUAUAAAUAUCUUUUGGCAUUACUUCCUUUUUAUGAACAUGGUUUCUGCCCUUAUCAUCUUUCACCAUAUGCAUGCACUGAAAUCUCUGCAUGUCUACUAUUCACAAUAUCAAGAAUAGUGCCUUUGGUUUUUAUUAUCUUUGAGUGUGUCCUUCAAGAUAAAGAGCUUAGUUGCAUCUUGAGCUUCCCAAGAAAUUGAGCGUACAUGUAGACAGUGGCUUGCAUGAGUAUAUGAACCACUCGAUCUCUUGUGGAAUAUACUAAAUAAAAGAGAAGCUAUGGACAUGAGAGGUAGUGCAGGCAACACGUUUGACAUGGUUCGGCUCAUGAACGAGCCUAUGUCCACAGUAAAGGUAACACACGUAGGAAAACUUUAUUGAUCAGUGAAGAUUAUUACAAGGACGAGUGGUUUGUGUGCCUUAUGACAUCAUGGGUACACUUUUACAACUGAAUUCAGUAACUUGAGAUUCUUAAUUUGUGGAAUUAAGGAAAAGAAAACAGCUUUUAUGCAAAGACAGUUGGCAAGUGUAGCUUGAAAUAAGCAAUUUUGAAAAUCAUGUGGCAGGACAAAAUCAAAUGAUUAAAACAAUUCUGCAGACUAAAUUUCAGUUUAUCCACUCAAAGAAUUUUAAUUGUUGGGCAACCUGAAUACUGAUUCUUAAAGUGGAUUAAACAAUAUUCUCAUGUUCAUGAUCUCUGCUGCACAUGAUGAUCAAUGCCAACAAUAAAGUGCUGGGAUAAGAAAUAAUGCUGAUAUCCUUCAACUAUGCUAGUGUUUCCAAAUGUUUCCUUCUGCCGGAAAAGGAUGAAAAGGUCUUCAUGAUUAGAUGCUGCUUCUUCCCUUCAGCUGUUGCUAGAUUCAGUUUUUGUUUAAAAUGAGUUUUAUUGCUGCAGUUACUUCAAGUUCACAUGCUUCUAUCAAUAAUCGUGCAUAUGGAUGUUUAUUCGCCAAUUCUGAUCAGUAGCAAGAUCUCUCAAAAAAUAUUCUGCUCGAUUUGACAUCAAAGGUGUCUUUAGCAUGAUUGAUUUUCCAAGAAUGGAUCUCUGCAUUAUAUUAGUGUUGCAAAAAGGUAGAUAAAAGAAAGCAUGCUAAGCACAUUGUUAUUUGAAUUCAUGGAGAAACGAGCUGCAAGGAAUCAAGCCGGAGACGCAGUGCCGCCAAACUGACCAGCAGCUAUGCCAGAGAGAGAGAGAGAGAGAGAGAGAGAGAGAGAGAGCGCAACUGCCAUUUUAUGCAGAAACACCUCACACACAUCCCACAGUAAGAUCUUUGGCAAUCUGGUUGCUUAUCUUUAGAUCUAAAAGUUGAAGGAUGUGAAGAGUUCAAUUGCCAAGGUGCACUUUUCCUGACUCAAACUGAUAACUAUCUGCAUAUAAAGAUUAAAAAUAUCAAAACCGUAUCUGUUAAGCGAUUCUAACGUAAAUACAUUUGAAACAGAUAUAUGAUAUCUAGAGUUAUUUCCAGUAUAAUUUUGCUAUUUGCAUAUUUUUCCCACCAACAAAUGUUUGUUAUCCUAGAUAUGGAUCCGCCCAUGAUGGGCGAGACCCAAACAGAUUCCGUUGGCAAAGGCGGUUGCAUGCCGCAACCGCCAAAGCGCAUUUGCUGCUUCAUCCUAAUGAGAAUAUUCUUCUGGCUUCUGAUAUCUAUCCAAAGAUUCCAAGUCGAUGAUCAUCGUAACCACUAGAUGAUCAUCCUAACUACUCGAUGGUCAUUCAAAUUCAUCCUGAAGCUCUAUAUAUAGCGAUGAGGAGAAGGCGUCAAGCUGGAAGGAAAGACAUUCAGAUUCGGAGAGCACAAAUUCAUAACAGAAAUGUUGCUCUCUCUCUGCAAUGUUGACCGGGGAAUCGGAGUUUCUCCGCUCCUGAGGCACUCGUCGGCGUCGUGCCACCAAGAUUUCCGUCAAACCCCCAUAUCUUUUGUCAAUGAAUUUGAGAUGCAUGGUUGAAAUUGUCAUCGGAGCUCUGGUGGUAGGCGGGUCUCCGGCGGUGACUGAUCCCUAACCGCCUUCAUGGCUGGCUGGCUUCCUUCCGCUUCUUCUUUGGUUUCAUUGGCAUCGGCACCAAGGCCUCCCUCAGGCUCGGCGGCGGCGGCGGCAGCGGGGCGGUCGCUGUUUUCUUGUGUAUCGAAUAUUCCCUAAGGAGCAGGAGGAGGCACCGUAAGGCGGCCGCUGUUUUUUUGUGUACCGAAUAUUCCCUAAGCAGCAGGAGAAGAAGGCACCUUAAGGCGGCCGCUCACCGGGAAGGCAGGCCAGGGUGUCUGCUGAUCAUCGCCAUGGCAGUCUGCAAAACCGUGGCCAACAGGGUCAAUGGGCCGGCAUUUUAUUGAUCAGCAGGCAGUUUCAUUGUCAUCGGCAGCAGGCCCUCCCUCAGGCUAGGCGGCAGCAGCGGGGCGGUCGCUGUUUUCUUGUGUAUCGAAUAUUCCCUAAGCAGCAGGGGAAGGCACCGUAAGGCGGCCGCUCACCGGGAGGGCAGACCAGGGUGUCUGCUGAUCACCGCCAUUACAGUCUGCAAAACCAUGGCCAACAGGGUUAAUGGGCCGGCAUUGAACCCGCCCAGCCCCGGCUCCUUCAGGAAUGGCUGAGUUUUCUAGCUUCCACCGAUGCGUGAGCAGGCAUAGAGCGGCGGAUGCCCCUCCAACGUACGCAAUGGGGGAGUUCGAGCGGCGGCUGGGGGGAUUAGCGCCGGCAUUGCCUUGCGGCUGCCGCUGCCCCCCUCGAUCAUGGCUCGAUGCCUUCGUCAGGUCCAUCCGGUACCGUGAAAGCGUCUGUUGGGCCUCAAAAAGUUAUAGAACACGUUGAAAUGAUUUUAGUUUUAGUGGCUCUGUUCAUUGUUAUGCAUUCCAUUACACAUUGCCCAUUUCCUGUGGAACUAUAAGUCUUGAGGAAGAGGCGGUUGCUUGCUAGAAAUAUUAAGAUCUUAUGUCAGAUACAUAAUAAAGAAAGGGCACAGUGUGUGUGCAUGUCUGUCUUUCGAGCUCUAGCGG